rnacentral:rRNA from 1 species
UACGAAGGGGGCUAGCGUUGCUCGGAUUUACUGGGCGUAAAGGGCGCGUAGGCGGACAGUUAAGUCGGGGGUGAAAGCCCGGGGCUCAACCUCGGAAUUGCCUUCGAUACUGGCUGUCUUGAGUGUGAGAGAGGUGUGUGGAACUCCGAGUGUAGAGGUGAAAUUCGUAGAUAUUCGGAAGAACACCAGUGGCGAAGGCGACACACUGGCUCACUACUGACGCUGGAGGCGCGAAAAGCGUGGGGAGCAAACAGG